ACUAUGCUACACUAUUAAGACACUCCUAAAGCAUCGAGCAACACAACUGAAAAACAGUAAAGGACUCUAUGCUACACUAUUUAGAUACUACUAACACAUGAAGGAAUGGUACUGUAUGUUCAUGUACUAUCAUUAUUCUUGAAAGUAAUAUGAAAAUAAGUUAACUAAUGACAAAGUUACUUAUUAAGGGAUAGCAUUUUACAGGCAACAAUAAUUACAUUGU